AAUGCGUAGAGAUCUGGAGGAAUACCGGUGGCGAAGGCGGCCCCCUGGACAAAGACUGACGCUCAGGUGCGAAAGCGUGGGGAGCAAACAGGAUUAGAUACCCUGGUAGUCCACGCCGUAAACGAUGUCUACUUGGAGGUUGUGCCCUUGAGGCGUGGCUUCCGGAGCUAACGCGUUAAGUAGACCGCCUGGGGAGUACGGCCGCAAGGUUAAAACUCAAAUGAAUUGACGGGGGCCCGCACAAGCGGUGGAGCAUGUGGUUUAAUUCGAUGCAACGCGAAGAACCUUACCUGGUCUUGACAUCCACGGAAGAAUUCAGAGAUGGAUUUGUGCCUUCGGGAACCGUGAGACAGGUGCUGCAUGGCUGUCGUCAGCUCGUGUUGUGAAAUGUUGGGUUAAGUCCCGCAACGAGCGCAACCCUUAUCCUUUGUUGCCAGCGGUCAGG
rnacentral:rRNA from 1 species